AACGAACGCUGGCGGCAGGCUUAACACAUGCAAGUCGAACGCUCACCUUCGGGUGGGAGUGGCAGACGGGUGAGUAACGCGUGGGAACGUACCCUUUGGUUCGGAAUAACCCAGGGAAACUUGGGGUAAUACCGGAUACGCCCUUCGGGGGAAAGGUUUACUGCCGAAGGAUCGGCCCGCGUCGGAUUAGCUAGUUGGUGGGGUAAAAGCCUACCAAGGCGACGAUCCGUAGCUGGUCUGAGAGGAUGAUCAGCCACACUGGGACUGAGACACGGCCCAGACUCCUACGGGAGGCAGCAGUGGGGAAUAUUGGACAAUGGGCGCAAGCCUGAUCCAGCCAUGCCGCGUGAGUGAAGAACG
rnacentral:rRNA from 1 species